CCCGCACAAGCGGUGGAGCAUGUGGUUUAAUUCGACGCUACGCGCAAAACCUUACCUGGGCUUGACAUGCUUGUGGUAGAAACCCGAAAGGGUGCCGACCUGCUCUUCGGAGUAGGAGCUUGCACAGGUGCUGCAUGGCCGUCGUCAGCUCGUGCCGUGAGGUGUUGGGUUAAGUCCCGCAACGAGCGCAACCCUCAUCCUUUGUUGCCCUUCACGGGGCUCUCUAAGGAAACUGCCGGCGAAGAGCUGGAGGAAGGUGGGGAUGACGUCAAGUCCGCAUGGCCCUUAUGCCCAGGGCUACACACGUGCUACAAUGGCAGGUACAAAGGGGCGCCAAGCCGCGAGGUGGAGCCAAUCUCAUAAAGCCUGUCCGAGUUGGGAUCGGAGUCUGCAACUCGACUCCGUGAACCUGGAAUCGCUAGUAAUCGUGGAUCAGCACGCCACGGUGAAUACGUUCCCGGGCCUUGUACACACCGCCCGUCACACCAUGGGAGUGGGCUGCAAAAGAAGUAGGUAGUUUAACCUUCGGGAGGACGCUUACCACUUUGUGGUUCAUGACUGGGGUGAAGUCGUAACAAGGUA
rnacentral:rRNA from 1 species